UCUGAGAGGAUGACCAGCCACACUGGGACUGAGACACGGCCCAGACUCCUACGGGAGGCAGCAGUGGGGAAUUUUGGACAAUGGGCGCAAGCCUGAUCCAGCCAUGCCGCGUGUCUGAAGAAGGCCUUCGGGUUGUAAAGGACUUUUGUCAGGGAAGAAAAGGGCGGGGUUAAUACCCCUGUCUGAUGACGGUACCUGAAGAAUAAGCACCGGCUAACUACGUGCCAGCAGCCGCGGUAAUACGUAGGGUGCGAGCGUUAAUCGGAAUUACCGGGCGUAAAGCGGGCGCAGACGGUUACUUAAGCAGGAUGUGAAAUCCCCGGGCUCAACCUGGGAACUGCGUUCUGAACUGGGUGACUAGAGUGUGUCAGAGGGAGGUAGAAUUCCACGUGUAGCAGUGAAAUGCGUAGAGAUGUGGAGGAAUACCGAUGGCGAAGGCAGCCUCCUGGGAUAACACUGACGUUCAUGCCCGAAAGCGUGGGUAGCAAACAGGAUUAGAUACCCUGGUAGUCCACGCCCUAAACGAUGUCGAUUAGCUGUUGGGCAGCAUGACUGCUUAGUAGCGAAGCUAACGCGUGAAAUCGAC
rnacentral:rRNA from 1 species